rnacentral:rRNA from 1 species
AGAGUUUGAUCCUGGCUCAGGAUGAACGCUGGCGGCGUGCUUAACACAUGCAAGUCGAACGAAGCACUCUAUUUGAUUUUCUUCGGAAAUGAAGAUUUUGUGACUGAGUGGCGGACGGGUGAGUAACGCGUGGGUAACCUGCCUCAUACAGGGGGAUAACAGUUGGAAACGACUGCUAAUACCGCAUAAGCGCACAGGAUUGCAUGAUCCGGUGUGAAAAACUCCGGUGGUAUGAGAUGGACCCGCGUCUGAUUAGCCAGUUGGCAGGGUAACGGCCUACCAAAGCGACGAUCAGUAGCCGACCUGAGAGGGUGACCGGCCACAUUGGGACUGAGACACGGCCCAAACUCCUACGGGAGGCAGCAGUGGGGAAUAUUGCACAAUGGGGGAAACCCUGAUGCAGCGACGCCGCGUGAGCGAAGAAGUAUUUCGGUAUGUAAAGCUCUAUCAGCAGGGAAGAAGAAUGACGGUACCUGACUAAGAAGCACCGGCUAAAUACGUGCCAGCAGCCGCGGUAAUACGUAUGGUGCAAGCGUUAUCCGGAUUUACUGGGUGUAAAGGGAGCGCAGGCGGUGCGGCAAGUCUGAUGUGAAAGCCCGGGGCUCAACCCCGGUACUGCAUUGGAAACUGUCGUACUAGAGUGUCGGAGGGGUAAGUGGAAUUCCUAGUGUAGCGGUGAAAUGCGUAGAUAUUAGGAGGAACACCAGUGGCGAAGGCGGCUUACUGGACGAUAACUGACGCUGAGGCUCGAAAGCGUGGGGAGCAAACAGGAUUAGAUACCCUGGUAGUCCGCACGGUAAACGAUGGAUGCCCGCUGUUGGUCUGAACAGGUCAGCGGCCAAGCGAAAGCAUUAAGCAUCCCACCUGGGGAGUACGCCGGCAACGGUGAAACUCAAAGGAAUUGACGGGGGCCCGCACAAGCGGAGGAACAUGUGGUUUAAUUCGAUGAUACGCGAGGAACCUUACCCGGGCUUGAAUUGCAGAGGAAGGAUUUGGAGACAAUGACGCCCUUCGGGGUCUCUGUGAAGGUGCUGCAUGGUUGUCGUCAGCUCGUGCCGUGAGGUGUCGGCUUAAGUGCCAUAACGAGCGCAACCCCUCUCCUUAGUUGCCAUCAGGUUAAGCUGGGCACUCUGGGGACACUGCCACCGUAAGGUGUGAGGAAGAUGGGGAUGACGUCAAAUCAGCACGGCCCUUACGUCCGGGGCUACACACGUGUUACAAUGGCAGGUACAGAGAGACGGUCCCUUGCAAAACGGAUCAAAUCCUUAAAGCCUGUCUCAGUUCGGACUGGGGUCUGCAACCCGACCCCACGAAGCUGGAUUCGCUAGUAAUCGCGCAUCAGCCAUGGCGCGGUGAAUACGUUCCCGGGCCUUGUACACACCGCCCGUCAAGCCAUGAAAGCCGGGGGCGCCUAAAGUCCGUGACCGUAAGGAGCGGCCUAGGGCGAAACUGGUAAUUGGGGCUAAGUCGUAACAAGGUA